GGAUCAAGGAAUCGGUCAUGCCUUGGUAUGUACUGGUUUUAUUGGUUCUCACCUUCUAAAGAACCAUAAUGUCAUUUAUUUGAUGUUAUGGGGAAUUAGGACUGUUACCUUGAAAAAAUUAGAGUGUUUAAAGCAAGCUUACGCUUGAAUACAUUAGCAUGGAAUAAUGAAAUAGGACAUCAGAUUCUAUUUUGUUGGUUUCUAGGAUCGAUGUA
rnacentral:ncRNA from 3 species